rnacentral:rRNA from 1 species
UGAAGUAAAAAAUCGUAACAAGGUUUCCGUAGGUGAACCUGCGGAAGGAUCAUUACCGAGUGCGGGUCCUUUGGGCCCAACCUCCCAUCCGUGUCUAUUGUACCCUGUUGCUUCGGCGGGCCCGCCGCUUGUCGGCCGCCGGGGGGGCGCCUCUGCCCCCCGGGCCCGUGCCCGCCGGAGACCCCAACACGAACACUGUCUGAAAGCGUGCAGUCUGAGUUGAUUGAAUGCAAUCAGUUAAAACUUUCAACAAUGGAUCUCUUGGUUCCGGCAUCGAUGAAGAACGCAGCGAAAUGCGAUAACUAAUGUGAAUUGCAGAAUUCAGUGAAUCAUCGAGUCUUUGAACGCACAUUGCGCCCCCUGGUAUUCCGGGGGGCAUGCCUGUCCGAGCGUCAUUGCUGCCCUCAAGCCCGGCUUGUGUGUUGGGUCGCCGUCCCCCUCUCCGGGGGGACGGGCCCGAAAGGCAGCGGCGGCACCGCGUCCGAUCCUCGAGCGUAUGGGGCUUUGUCACAUGCUCUGUAGGAUUGGCCGGCGCCUGCCGACGUUUUCCAACCAUUCUUUCCAGGUUGACCUCGGAUCAGGUAGGGAUACCCGCUGAACUUAAGCAUAUCAAUAAGGCCGGAGAAA